GCCCGCUCAGAAACUACAAAGGAAUUGACGGGGCCCGCACAAGCGGUGGAGUAUGUGGUUUAAUUCGAUGCAACGCGAAGAACCUUACCUGGUCUUGACAUCCCGGAGACCCUUAGGAAACUAGGGGUGCUUCCAUCUGGAAGAAUCUGGAGACAGGUGCUGCAUGGCUGUCGUCAGCUCGUGUCGUGAGAUGUUGGGUUAAGUCCCGCAACGAGCGCAACCCUUGCCUUUAGUUGCCAGCAGUUCGGCUGGGCACUCUAAAGGGACUGCCGGUGUUAAACCGGAGGAAGGUGGGGAUGACGUCAAGUCCUCAUGGCCUUUAUGACCAGGGCUACACACGUACUACAAUGGCCGAUACAAGGGGCAGCGACACCGCGAGGUGAAGCCAAUCCCGUAAAAUCGGUCUCAGUCCGGAUUGGAGUCUGCAACUCGACUCCAUGAAGUUGGAAUCGCUAGUAAUCGUGGAUCAGCAUGCCACGGUGAAUACGUUCCCGGGCCUU
rnacentral:rRNA from 1 species